rnacentral:rRNA from 1 species
UACGAAGGGGGCUAGCGUUGCUCGGAAUUACUGGGCGUAAAGGGAGCGUAGGCGGGUCGUCAAGUUGGGGGUGAAAGCCCAGGGCUCAACCUUGGAAUUGCCUUCAAAACUGACGAUCUAGAGUAUGGAAGAGGUAAGUGGAACUCCGAGUGUAGAGGUGAAAUUCGUAGAUAUUCGGAAGAACACCAGUGGCGAAGGCGACUUACUGGUCCAUGACUGACGCUGAGGCUCGAAAAGCGUGGGGGAGCAAAACAGGGAAUUAGAAAACCCCUUUGU